rnacentral:rRNA from 1 species
UACGUAGGGGGCAAGCGUUGUCCGGAUUUAUUGGGCGUAAAGAGCGUGUAGGCGGCCAGAUAGGUCCGUUGUGAAAACUCGAGGCUCAACCUCGAGACGCCGGUGGAAACCGUAAGGCUAGAGUCCGGAAGAGGAGAGUGGAAUUCCUGGUGUAGCGGUGAAAUGCGCAGAUAUCAGGAGGAACACCCGUGGCGAAAGCGGCUCUCUGGGACGGUACUGACGCUGAGACGCGAAAGCGUGGGGAGCAAACAGG